GACGAACGCUGGCGGCGCGCCUAACACAUGCAAGUCGAACGAGCGAGAGAGAGCUUGCUUUCUUGAGCGAGUGGCGAACGGGUGAGUAACGCGUGAGGAACCUGCCUCAAAGAGGGGGACAACAGUUGGAAACGACUGCUAAUACCGCAUAAGCCCACGGUGCCGCAUGGCACAGAGGGAAAAGGAGCAAUCCGCUUUGAGAUGGCCUCGCGUCCGAUUAGCUAGUUGGUGAGGUAACGGCCCACCAAGGCGACGAUCGGUAGCCGGGCUGAGAGGUUGAACGGCCACAUUGGGACUGAGACACGGCCCAGACUCCUACGGGAGGCAGCAGUGGGGAAUAUUGCACAAUGGGGGAAACCCUGAUGCAGCGACGCCGCGUGGAGGAAGAAGGUCUUCGGAUUGUAAACUCCUGUUGUUGGGGAAGAUAAUGACGGUACCCAACAAGGAAGUGACGGCUAACUACGUG
rnacentral:rRNA from 1 species